rnacentral:rRNA from 1 species
CCUGCUGGAGGCCACCGCUAUUGGAGUUCGUUAGGCAUGCAAGUCUAGGAGUGACCAUUUCAUUCCUGGCAGACGGCCCAGUAACACGUAGGUAACCUGCCCACGAGAAGGGGAUAACCUCGGGAAACUGAGGAUAAUACCAUAUAAAUGAUGAAUUCUGGAACGACUCAUCGUUUAAAAGGAUAUGAGGAUUGGCUUGUAUCCGCUCAUGGAUGGGCCUGCGGCGGAUUAGGCAGUUGGUAGUGUAAUGGACCACCAAACCUAAGAUCCGUAGGGGCAUUGAGAGAUGAUGCCUCGGGAAGGGCACUGAGGCAAGGGCCCUAGUCCUAAGGGGUGCAGCAGUCACGAAGUCUUCGCAAUGCGCGCAAGCGUGACGAGGGAACUCCAAGUGCGCUAUCACUGAUGGUGCUGUGGCGAAGUGUAAAUAGCUUUGCAAGAAAGGGGUGGGCAAGACUGGUGCCAGCAGCCGCGGUAAUCCCAGCGCCUCAAGUCGUGGCCACGUUUAUUGGGCCUAAAGCAUCUGUAGCCGGGCUAUUAAGUCCUCUGUGAAAUCGACCAGCUCAACUGUUCGGCGGGCAGAGGAUACUAUUAGUCUAGGGAUCGGGUGGGGUCAGGGGUAUUCCUGGGGUAGCGGUUAAAUGUUAUAAUCCCAGGAGGACCAUCAGUAGUGAAGACGCCUGACUAGAACGAGUCCGACGGUGAUAGGAUGAAAGCUGGGGGAGCGAAACGGAUUAGAUACCCGUGUAGUCCCAGCUGUAAACGCUGCCCAUUAGGUGUUGCAUGCUCCUCGAGGGCAUGCAGUGCCGAAGCGAAGGCAUUAAAUGGGCCGCCUGGGGAGUACGGUCGCAAGGCUGAAACUUAAAGGAAUUGGCGGGGAACACAGCAAGGGGUGCCUCGUGCGGUUUAAUUGGACUCAACACCGUAAAUCUCACCGGGAGCGACAGCAGGAUGAAGGUCAGUCUGAAGGGCUUACCUAACGCGCUGAGAAGAGAUGCAUGGCCGUCGUCAGCUCGUGCUGUGAAGUGUCCUGUCAAGUCAGGAAACGAGCGAGACCCACGUUUUUAGUUGCAAUCAUGAGUUUUCGGAUUUGUGAGCACACUAAAGAGACUGCCGCUGAAAAGCGGAGGAAGGCGUGGACCACGGUAGGUCAGUAUGCCCUGAAUCCCCCGGGCUACACGCGCGAAGCAAUGGCCGGAACAAUUGGAUGCUACACCGAAAGGUGACGCAAAUCCCAUAAAUCCGGUCCCAGUAUGAAUCGAGGGUUGGAACCCACCCUCGUGAAAGCGAAAUCCCUAGUAAUCGCGUCUCAGAAAGGCGCGAUGAAUCUGUCCCUGUUCCUUGCACACACCGCCCAUCAAACCACUCGAGUUGAGUACGGGUGAGGCUUCACCGACGAGGUGAUGUCGAACCUGCGCUCGAUGAGAAGGGUUAAGUUGACACAAGGUA